UCCAUCUGUGGACAUUUUGGGCAUUUUGUAACCGUAAGGCCUAGGCACUUCAAAUUUAACAAGUGGGAAGAAUAGCCUUUGAAAUGCUGCUGACAGAAAAAUUUAGCCCGGUUUGACUCUAAUUCAGCCCACCAGGGGGCAAAAAGCGUAAAUUACAAAAAUAUUUUUUGUCGCUUUAUGCCAGGAGUUCGAAGCUUGAAAAAAAGUUGAAGAGGUCUGCAUAACAAUCAGGUUUUGAUAUAAAAUAGAUUAAUUUUGAUUUAUGUGACCAGUUGGCAGUAAUUGGGCAAAAGUGUAAGUUGGCACAUUGCCAGCUGUUUUGAAUUUCGCGGUUCGAGGCAUUCCCUCAGAAAUUCCAGUGACGUAAACGUCGGGAAAUGUCAGAAAUUGGACACGUUCGGAAAUGCGAUGUAGUUUCUAUAAUUUAACGUUGAACUGUUCGAAUUUGGAAACCUGUCUAAAUUCUGAACUUUUCCCGGAUUGUGCAGAGGAAGCGGAUUGAUAUGUGGUAGGUGAGCCCAGGUAGAAGAUAUAGGUCUUUCAGUACGUUCGAGUAAGAUGCGUGUUAUUGUGUUAGUAAUAAACGAUAAAUGAUCUAAAGCUAUUUGGUGUGUUUCUAUUGUCAUUUUCUGCACGAAAUAACAGCUUGGGAGCGCACAUUGAAGGAAAGUAGUGCCGCAUUGGCACGACGCCAGCUCACGCCGUUAUCUGGCAGCAUGGUCAGCUGUGUGAAGAAGCCCAGUCAAACUGAGGGAUGCUGCCCUUACAAAAGGUUUUAAAGACGAUUCAGUAAAUGACUUAAAAGUGACCUACCAAACAAGAAUGUCUAUUGAAACGCAACCUCUAAACUUUAAACCAAAAGCCCCGAAAGUUAAAGUCACACCCACUAUCAAGCUCAACUCCCUGAACAACCAAAGGAUUUCUCAAAGGCUCAACAUCACAGCGAAGGUGGUGAAAGUACUUGAAGACACCUGCCUCAAAGAUGUUCGAGGACAAAGCCUAAAUGCAAAAGUCAUACUUGUUGCAGAUGACACCGGAUGUGCCAAGUUAACAUUAUGGGAAAAGUUGAUACCUAUGGUUGAAAAUGAAAAAACCUACCAGUUCAGUGAAUUGUCCGUAUACUAUUUCGACCAAAACUCAUUAACAACCACCCCGGAAACUGCUAUCAAAGUUCAUACUGACAUAACGGUGAUUGAUAUAUCACAAGAUAUAAUUGAGGAACAACAUCUCGAUGACACCAACACAACAGUGAAGAAUGCCACAGUUCAGCAAGUUUCUGUAACAAUGAGAAAGGCAUGCUUGUCUUGUAAACAUGUUGUGCCAACAACCGACCACCACACCACAAAGUGUGGAAAUUGUGACAUGCGCCAGUUAACCAAAAUGUUAACACAAAACAUUCGGGUAAAAUUGCUCUUAAUGGCAGAGGACAAGGAAAGAAUCGCUGUCACAGGUCUAGACCAGAUCAUGAUUGACUUUCUGCUGAAAGAGGGACUAGUCAUAACUAAUGAUGUCACGACUGACGACAUUGAGGAAUUCAUUUUGAAUUUAGAAACUAUCCCAUCAGUAACAUACAAUGUGGACAGACUUGUUCUAAAAUUUUGAACCCAAUUCGUCAAACUGCAUAAUUCAUUUUCAAAUGCACAUGAUCCAGGCCUAUGGUAAAGCCUCCCAGAAAAUGGUGCACCACAGUUUGACAUGAUAUGUAAACCAGCACUAAAAGCGCCCUUCGGGUUGUGCAGUAAUUUCAUUCAGUUUUGGAAACGAAAAGCAUUUAUUUAGUUAUAAUUUGAAUACAAGCAGAAUGUUCCUAAUUGAAAGUCUAUUGUGUUUAGCCUUUUAUUAUCAUGAAACAUUGUAAUUUCUUACAAAUCUUAUACUGAUUUGAUUGCAUACUAAGUUACAUAAAUGUUCAUUUUCAGUACCCUUCUAACAUUGUCUAAAGACCGUGCCGCAAAAACAUCCACAUUAUGUAUACUCUUACAAAUGCAAAUAAAUAAGACAAAUACAUGUAUGAUUAUGAAUGCAUUAAUACUCAUGCAUAUUAACCAGAUACAAAAUGUAGACAUUUGUAAUUGUUUGUUUAUACUUCUUAAGAAGGUAUUAUUUUCUAUGUUCUAAGUUUAUUUUAUGCAUCCUUUAUGUUCAUAGAUAUAGGGAUCAUUUCAGAAGUUUUAUCCCAGGAGAGAUAACAUGAUCUUGCAUAUAAACAUUGUAAUUUCUGUUAAUUCUUGUACUAAUUUCAUCACAUACAAAGUUAUGUUAAUGUUUUCCUAAGGACUGUGACGCAAAUACGUCCUUAUGAUCCAUUAAGUUA